rnacentral:piRNA from 1 species
UAGUAGCAGCUCACCUUGGCUUCGAUC